GGAGUUAGCCGGUGCUUCUUCUGUGAGUGAUGUCCUUCCUGCCGGUUAUUGACCCGCAGGCCUUCUUCCUCACUGAAAGUGCUUUACAACCCGAAGGCCUUCUUCACACACGCGGCAUGGCUGGAUCAGGGUUUCCCCCAUUGUCCAAUAUUCCCCACUGCUGCCUCCCGUAGGAGUCUGGGCCGUGUCUCAGUCCCAGUGUGGCUGAUCAUCCUCUCAGACCAGCUACGGAUCGUCGCCUUGGUGAGCCGUUACCUCACCAACCAGCUAAUCCGACAUAGGCUCAUCCGAUAGCGCGAGGCCCGAAGGUCCCCCGCUUUCCCCCGUAGGGCGUAUGCGGUAUUAGCCUGGGUUUCCCCAGGUUAUCCCCCACUACCGGGCAGAUUCCUAUGCAUUACUCACCCGUCCGCCGCUCGCCACCAGGGAGCAAGCUCCCCGUGCUGCCGCUCGACUUGCAUGUGUUAGGCCUGCCGCCAGCGUUCAAUCUGAGCCAGAAUCAAACUCUGA
rnacentral:rRNA from 1 species